GCCUUAUUUCUUACGAUCUAUUGCUUCUCUUUCCUAUUCCCGACCCUAACCUUUUUUCCUGAAUUCAAUUCACGGGAAGAAAAAGAAAAGAAACGAAAAGAAAAUUACAGAAUCGAAGAUCAUAUGAUGAUACCAAGCUUGGAAAGGGAAACCCUAAAGGUAAAUACUAGUCCAGUUAACAAAGACGAAGAAACAGAGAUGACACUGGAUUGCAAAACCCCAACCGGGCUGAGACAUAAAAUACCAGAGACGACAUGGGAUUGCAAGACCCCGACUGGGGAGGAACACAAAAUACCUAUCCUGAAAACUUGCCCCCCGGCUCCAGGUCCAAGGUGGCUUCUGGAUUCUCUCUCGGAGAAAAAGAAGGCGUCGAAGAUGAACUCUGUUGCCGAGCCAAAGAAAAUGAUUACUGAGUCCAGCAUUGUUUCAUCUGUCUGGACUAUGAAGUUCAAUUGAAUCGAGGUGUGUGGAGUAUGACCAGUCGAGAAAUCAUCACCAGGUAUGAAGAACAUACAGGGGCAGACAAGAUAUAGGAGUUGUUUGCAGAUUUCAUCCAUGCUAUCAGAUGACUAACAUGGUUGACUUCUUGUUUGUCAGGGGUUCUGCACAGUGAUUUGAACCUCUUCUUGUGUGGGUGAAUUUAAACCAUUGAAGAGCUGCUUCAGCUUUGCUCUUGAAUUUAGAAUGCCUCUGCAUUUCCAAGGAGCAGCGGCUAGAGUUUUUAGCCACUUGAUUGUGUUUCAUGAAUCUGAUGAGCUAGCUGUGUUUUUAUUGGUGGAGCUUAUUUCUAAAGCUUCAGUAAUCCUGUGUAGCUCCACCUCCUUUGAGUUAAUUUUUCCAGUGGGGCUUGGAAAAAUACCGAUGAAUUUUCCAGCACCAUUAUGAAUACCUCUCGUGAAGUCCGCAGCAUGAGGCUUUCCGAUAGAUAAUCCGUCCACGUUCUCCUUCAGGCUGUUGGCACUUGGAAGUGACCAAACCAAACUCCAUACAAUCAGAACAAGGGAAUCUUGCUUUCUUGCUUUGAUAUAUUAAUCUGAUUUCUCAUGGAACCAUCGAAACAAGGGAGCUUGAAACUUAUUAUGCAAGCUGGAAAGGUGCGAUAAUUCAUGGAACAACUCCGUGCAAUUAAUCUUUUCGGUGCUUCAACUUUUCAACGCUUGAUCUCGCAUGAAGAAGCAGCGGGAAUCAUUUCCAUAUCUCCCAUCACACACGCACACAGUAGUGUUACACAUGGCUGUA